rnacentral:rRNA from 1 species
ACUGAAUAGAUACCCUGGUAGUCCACGCCGUAAACGAUGAUUACUCGCUGUUGGCGAUACACUGUCAGCGGCUAAAGCAAAAGCAAUAAGUAAUCCACCUGGGGAGUACGGCCGCAAGGUUGAAACUCAAAGGAAUUGACGGGGGCCCGCACAAGCGGAGGAACAUGUGGUUUAAUUCGAUGAUACGCGAGGAACCUUACCUGGGCUUAAAUGUAGAGUGCAUUUUCUAGAGAUAGGAAUUCCCUUCGGGGCUUUCUGCAAGGUGCUGCAUGGUUGUCGUCAGCUCGUGCCGUGAGGUGUCGGGUUAAGUCCCAUAACGAGCGCAACCCUUAUCGUUAGUUGCUAUCUGGUAAAGCAGGGGACUCUAGCGAAACUGCCACCGUAAGGUGAGAGG